UCCACGCUGUAAACGAUGGAUACUAGGUGUGGGGGGACUGACCCCCUCCGUGCCGGAGUUAACACAAUAAGUAUCCCACCUGGGGAGUACGAUCGCAAGGUUGAAACUCAAAGGAAUUGACGGGGGCCCGCACAAGCGGUGGAGUAUGUGGUUUAAUUCGAAGCAACGCGAAGAACCUUACCAGGGCUUGACACCCCGAUGACCGCUCUAGAGAUAGAGUUUUCUCUUCGGAGACAUCGGUGACAGGUGGUGCAUGGUUGUCGUCAGCUCGUGUCGUGAGAUGUUGGGUUAAGUCCCGCAACGAGCGCAACCCUUAUUGUUAGUUGCUACGCAAGAGCACUCUAGCGAGACUGCCGUUGACAAAACGGAGGAAGGUGGGGACGACGUCAAAUCAUCAUGCCCCUUAUGUCCUGGGCCACACACGUACUACAAUGGUGGUCAACAGAGGGAAGCAAUACCGCGAGGUGGAGCAAAUCCCUAAAAGCCAUCCCAGUUCGGAUCGCAGGCUGCAACCCGCCUGCGUGAAGUUGGAAUCGCUAGUAAUCGCGGAUCAGCAUGCCGCGGUGAAUACGUUCCCGGGCCUUGUACACACCGCCCGUCACACCAUGAGAGUCGGGAACACCCGAAGUCCGUAGCCUAACCGCAAGGGGGGCGCGGCCGAAGGUGGGUUCGAUAAUUGGGGUGAAGUCGUAACAAGGUAGCCGUAUCGGAAGGUGCGGCUGGAUCACCUC
rnacentral:rRNA from 1 species